UAGGGAAUCUUCCACAAUGGGCGCAAGCCUGAUGGAGCAACACCGCGUGAGUGAAGAAGGGUUUCGGCUCGUAAAGCUCUGUUGUUAAAGAAGAACACGUAUGAGAGUAACUGUUCAUACGCUGACGGUAUUUAACCAGAAAGUCACGGCUAACUACGUACCAG
rnacentral:rRNA from 1 species